rnacentral:rRNA from 1 species
GACGGGGGGUCCUAGCGUUGUUCGGAAUCAUUGGGCGUAAAGCGGGCGUAGGUGGCCAUGUAAGUCGGGAGUGAAAUCCCUGGGCUCAACCCAGGAAGUGCUCUCGAUACUGCUUGGCUUGAAUGUGGAAGAGGAUAGUGGAAUUCCAGGUGUAGUGGUGAAAUACGUAGAUAUCUGGAGGAACACCGGUGGCGAAGGCGGCUAUCUGGUCCAACAUUGACACUGAGGCCCGAAAGCGUGGGGAUCAAACAGG